GACGUAGGGCGCGAGCGUUGUCCGGAUUUAUUGGGCGUAAAGAGCUCGUAGGCGGCCUGUCGCGUCGGCUGUGAAAACCCGAGGCUCAACCUCGGGCCUGCAGUCGAUACGGGCAGGCUAGAGUUCGGUAGGGGAGACUGGAAUUCCUGGUGUAGCGGUGAAAUGCGCAGAUAUCAGGAGGAACACCGGUGGCGAAGGCGGGUCUCUGGGCCGAAACUGACGCUGAGGAGCGAAAGCGUGGGGAGCGAACAGG
rnacentral:rRNA from 1 species